rnacentral:rRNA from 1 species
GUGUCAGCAGCCGCGGUAAGACGAAGGUGGCGAGCGUUGUUCGGAAUCACUGGGCAUAAAGCGCACGUAGGCGGUGUCAUAAGUCGGGUGUGAAAUCCCUCGGCCUAACCGAGGAACUGCGCCCGAUACUGUGAUGCUUGAGGACCAGAGGGGUGCAUGGAAUUUCCGGUGGAGCGGUGAAAUGCGUUGAUAUCGGAAGGAACUCCGGCGGCGAAAGCGAUGCACUGGCUGGUUUCUGACGCUGAGGUGCGAAAGCCAGGGGAGCAAACGGGAUUAGAUACCCCCGUAGUCC